UCCGGUUUGUCACCGGCAGUCUCCUUAGAGUGCCCACCAUAACGUGCUGGUAACUAAGGACAAGGGUUGCGCUCGUUACGGGACUUAACCCAACAUCUCACGACACGAGCUGACGACAGCCAUGCACCACCUGUGAUGGUGUCCCGAAGGAAAGGUGUGUUUCCACACCGGUCACCAACAUGUCAAACCCAGGUAAGGUUCUUCGCGUUGCGUCGAAUUAAACCACAUGCUCCGCUGCUUGUGCGGGUCCCCGUCAAUUCCUUUGAGUUUUAGCCUUGCGGCCGUACUCCCCAGGCGGGGCACUUAAUGCGUUAGCUACGGCACCGCAGGGGUCAACACCCGCGACACCUAGUUCUCAUCGUUUACGGCAUGGACUAC
rnacentral:misc_RNA from 1 species